GUAGGUGGCAAGCGUUGUCCGGAAUUAUUGGGCGUAAAGCGCGCGCAGGCGGUUCUUUAAGUCUGAUGUGAAAGCCCACGGGCUCAACCGUGGAGGGUCAUUGGAAACUGGAGAACUUGAGUACAGAAGAGGAAAGCGGAAUUCCACGUGUAGCGGUGAAAUGCGUAGAGAUGUGGAGGAACACCAGUGGCGAAGGCGGCUUUCUGGUCUGUAACUGACGCUGAGGCGCGAAAGCGGUGGGGAGACAAACAGGAUUAGAUACCCUGGUAGUCCACGACCGUAAACGAUGAGUGCUAAGUGUUAGGGGGGUUUCCGCCCCCUUAGUGCUGCAGCUAACGCAUUAAGCACUCCGCCUGGGGAGUACGGCCGCAAGGCUG
rnacentral:rRNA from 1 species